GAUGAAGAAGUAGCGAAAUGCGAUAAGUAAUGUGAAUUGCAGAAUUCAGUGAAUCAUCGAAUCUUUGAACGCAUCUUGCGCUCCUUGGUAUUCUGAGGAGCAUGCCUGUUUGAGUGUCAUUAAAUUCUCAACCGCACUGACUUUGAAUUGGUGUGGCUUGGAUUUGGGGGGAAAAUUGUUGUGGGCUUUUUUGUAUAGUCUGCUCCCCUGAAAUUGAUUAGCGGUACCUUUGUGGAACUGUCUACAGGUGUGAUAAUUAUCUACAUCCUAGACAUCUGCUGGAAUGCUGCUUUCUAAACCUUACUUGUAUUGACAAUCUUGACCUCAAAUCAGGUAGGACUACCCGCUGAACUUAAGCAUAUCAAUAAGCGGAGGA
rnacentral:misc_RNA from 1 species